rnacentral:rRNA from 1 species
UAAGACAGAGGGUGCAAACGUUGUUCGGAAUUACUGGGCGUAAAGCGAGUGUAGGCGGUUUGGUAAGUCGGAUGUGAAAGCCCCGGGCUCAACCCGGGAAGUGCACUCGAUACUGCCAAGCUAGAGUAUCGGAGAGGUUGGUGGAAUUCUCGGUGUAGAGGUGAAAUUCGUAGAUAUCGAGAGGAACACCGGUGGCGAAGGCGGCCAACUGGACGAAUACUGACGCUGAGACUCGAAAGCGUGGGGAGCAAACAGGAUUAGAUACCCUGGUAGUCCACGCCGUAAACGAUGGGUGCUAGGUGUCGCGGGCUUUGACUCCUGCGGUGCCGUAGCUAACGCAUUAAGCACCCCGCCUGGGAAGUACGGCCGCAAGGCUA